GACGAGGGAGCACAGACUCACCUCAGUAGCAGAACAGUGGAGCGGCUGAGAAGCUAGGUUUCUGAAAUCACCCAUUCAUGAUGUCCAUAAUCCUGCCCACUCUUUUAAGGGGAACAUCAAAUAAAAGCUGGAAGCCAAGAGGUCUCUGGGAAAGCCCUCCUGUUGAGGACCGCAGGAAAAACCAACCGCGGAGGAGGAUAUCAUCUUGGGAUUGGCCCUUCGGAGGGAAGAGCACUGCUUUAAACAAACAGCCAAACAGGAUUCAAGUGAUGCAUUUGGAUGGCUUAGUUCCCUGCAUUGUGUCUAGAGCCUCGAACGCACAGACGCUUAGCUCCAACGUGGCUGGAGUGGCUUCACCCUCACAACUUCCGUCUUUUAACUGGAAGACUUUGGAUAACCGUCUCGUGGGCUUAUUCACUGGCAGUUACAAAUCAGUCUGGUGGAUUCGUGUUCAGCUCACCCUGGGACACCCUUUCGCUAUUCCACAGACAUCAGGGACUGGGAGAGCAGGACACCAAGCUGAAAGGAAUGGAAAGCCCUGAGGAGCCAAGGAAAUCCAGGGAGGUCAGAUGCCAAAUCUUACAUUUCCUCUGGGCAGAAGCUACUGAUGGCAGGAUUUUAGAUUGGAGGAGACGGGGCUGGCAUAGCAUACAUGGAUUGAACUCAGCUUUGUCAAGCUUGGUGGCAGUCACUUUUACCUGCUGAGCCAGCUCAUCAGCCCAUGAUCUAUCUACCUUUGUAAAAAUAUGAAAAGGAGAAAACUGGAGCUGAAGAUGUGACUUAUAGGUUAAAAGCACUUGCUGUUCUUUCAGAGGACCCAGGUUCAGUUCCUAUCACUCACAUGGUAACUCACGACCAUCUGUAACCCCAGCUUCAGAGGAUCUGAUACCCUCAUCUGGCCUCCAUGAACACCAGGCACACACGUGGUGCACAUACAUGUAUGCAAGCAAAGCAUUCAUAUGUAUAAAAUAAAAAUUAAUAAAUUCUUUUUUAAAAUCCUUCAUUUUGCUGAUGGGAUACACUUGCAUUUUAAUAGUAUUUUUUGUAAAAUUAAAAAAUAUUAGAUUGUAAUACAAAAGAUGGAAUCAACUCCUCUUGAUUGUUCUUUAUAUGAGUGCCUUGGUACUCAAGGACCUACCCAUUGCUAUUAAAUAAAUGUUUACAAAUGUUUUUAAAAUAAAAAAAAAUAAAU
ensembl:lincRNA uncharacterized LOC110293943